AGAGUUUGAUCACGGCUCAGAUUGAACGCUGGCGGCAGGCCUAACACAUGCAAGUCGAACGGUAACAGGAAGCAGCUUGCUGCUUCGCUGACGAGUGGCGGACGGGUGAGUAAUGUCUGGGAAGCUGCCUGAUGGAGGGGGAUAACUACUGGAAACGGUAGCUUAUACCGCAUAAUGUCGCAAGACCAAAGAGGGGGACCUUCGGGCCUCUUGCCAUCGGAUGUGCCCAGAUGGGAUUAGCUUGUUGGUGGGGUAACGGCUCACCAAGGCGACGAUCCCUAGCUGGUCUGAGAGGAUGACCAGCCACACUGGAGCUGAGACACGGUCCAGACUCCUACGGGAGGCAGCAGUGGGGAAUAUUGCACAAUGGGCGCAAGCCUGAUGCAGCCAUGCCGCGUGUAUGAAGAAGGCCUUCGGGUUGUAAAGUACUUUCAGCGGGGAGGAAGGGAGUAAAGUUAAUACCCUUGCUCAUUGACGUUACCCGCAGAAGAAGCACCGGCUAACUCCGUGCCAGCAGCCGCGGUAAUACGGAGGGUGCAAGCGUUAAUCGGAAUUACUGGGCGUAAAGCGCACGCAGGCGGUUUGUUAAGUCAGAUGUGAAAUCCCCGGGCUCAACCUGGGAACUGCAUCUGAUACUGGCAAGCUUGAGUCUCGUAGAGGGGGGUAGAAUUCCAGGUGUAGCGGUGAAAUGCGUAGAGAUCUGGAGGAAUACCGGUGGCGAAGGCGGCCCCCUGGACGAAGACUGACGCUCAGGUGCGAAAGCGUGGGGAGCAAACAGGAUUAGAUACCCUGGUAGUCCACGCCGUAAACGAUGUCGACUUGGAGGUUGUGCCCUUGAGGCGUGGCUUCCGGAGCUAACGCGUUAAGUCGACCGCCUGGGGAGUACGGCCGCAAGGUUAAAACUCAAAUGAAUUGACGGGGGCCCGCACAAGCGGUGGAGCAUGUGGUUUAAUUCGAUGCAACGCGAAGAACCUUACCUGGUCUUGACAUCCACGGAAGUUUUCAGAGAUGAGAAUGUGCCUUCGGGAACCGUGAGACAGGUGCUGCAUGGCUGUCGUCAGCUCGUGUUGUGAAAUGUUGGGUUAAGUCCCGCAACGAGCGCAACCCUUAUCCUUUGUUGCCAGCGGUCCGGCCGGGAACUCAAAGGAGACUGCCAGUGAUAAACUGGAGGAAGGUGGGGAUGACGUCAAGUCAUCAUGGCCCUUACGACCAGGGCUACACACGUGCUACAAUGGCGCAUACAAAGAGAAGCGACCUCGCGAGAGCAAGCGGACCUCAUAAAGUGCGUCGUAGUCCGGAUUGGAGUCUGCAACUCGACUCCAUGAAGUCGGAAUCGCUAGUAAUCGUGGAUCAGAAUGCCACGGUGAAUACGUUCCCGGGCCUUGUACACACCGCCGUCACACCAUGGGAGUGGGUUGCAAAAGAAGUAGGUAGCUUAACCUUCGGGAGGGCGCUUACCACUUUGUGAUUCAUGACUGGGGUGAAGUCGAAACAAGGUAACCGUAGGGGACCUGCGGUUG
rnacentral:rRNA from 1 species